ACACAGAGACACACAGAGAGAAGGCCUGUGAAAGCAAGGACAGAGAUCAGAGCGCUGCGUCUACCGCCGAGGACCACCAGCAGCUGGGAGAGAGGCAGUAAGCAGGAGGAAUCUGGAGGAACCCUCCAGAAGGAACCAACCUCAAUAACAGAAGAAUGGUUGUAGGAGUUGGAAGGAGAAAAUGUGCAUGUAACAAGAAAGAGACUGUAUCAGCCACAGAAUUUCUCUGAGGAGAGACAUUAUAUAUUUUUUGGAAGAUUGAGUUAAAUAAACCUCUUUGCAGGAGGGUGGCUUCCAAGUGCUAAGAUCAAGAAACCGGGGGGCCCUGUUGACUAACAUGAUGCAUCGGUAGUAUACAUGUUGGGUGGUAAGAGUUGACUGAUGAAGAAUGAGGAAGGUAAAUUUCAUAAGAAAAAAUUGAGGAGAUAAAACGGGCCAGUAAGAGUGAGACUGGGGGAAGGAAGGAGCAACACCCCUCCACAUCAUGGUAUGGCUAGGGAGUUUGGGGGGGCACAGAAACAUCUAAUGGAUAUUUCUAGUUCUUUGUGGUGAAGUGUACAACCGAAGCCCAUUGCCACAUCUCUUCGACAACAUGUGCAGUGAACUCUAUCCUGGGUACCAAUGUCUUUAGGAUGAUGGAUUCCUUGGAUUUGAAUCUGGAUAGGUGCCGAGUUUGGAGGCUGGAUUGUCAUGGAGUAAAGUGAGGAGAGCCCACACCGAUCCAUGAGCAGCUAUUUGAAUCCCACCCAUCCUUCAAAAAUCAGCUGCCUCCUGCCUGAAGCCUUCACCCACCUUCCCAGCCAGAAAGGCACAUCUUCUAUCUCCUAGCUGCCGGCAGGGUGUAUUCCCAUAUAACAGGUACUGCCUUCCAUCUGGGGUUCGAGCAUCGUGAUCUUCCUUGGACGCCUUGCUGAGAGACGCCCUCAGUCUCCCCCAAGCCUGCUUCUCCUGGGUCUGCACCUCUCUGUGGAUGUGGUACUCAGCCCUCCAGGAAGGACAAAAGUCAUUGUCCACGAGCGCUUCCCACAAACCCCCUCACCAUGUGUUUUACCCACAUCAUCACAUUUAAUAUGCAGAGUAACACUCUCUUA